AUGACUUUCACUUCCUAUUUAAACUCUCAAUCUCGUUCUCCAGACUCGACUCGAGGUGCAAAUCUCAUCGCUCCAAACUUCUUCAGAAUGACACCCAACUUCUUAAUUCUCAUCGUGCUAACUGCCUUCUCCAAAGGUGGCCUCUCCCAGGUAGCUCUGACCCAGUCAGAUGCGGUACUGAAGAAACCAGGAGAAUCCCAGAAAUUGACUUGCGCUGCCACUGGAUUCAAUGUUAAUAGCUAUUGGAUGGAUUGGUUCAGGCAGAAACCUGGCCAAGGACUGGAAUGGCUUGUUCACUAUCACACAUCGAGUAGCAACUAUUAUUCACCGAUAAUCCGAGGACGUUUUACUGCCUCCAAGGACAGUUCCAACUUCUAUCUGCAAAUGAACAACCUAAAAGCUGAGGACACGGCUGUCUAUUAUUGUGCAAGAGACACAGUGAGAGAGAUCUUAAGAGAUCUCAUGCAAAAACUUUUCCUUUCACUACCGAAACAUCUCAAGAGGGGACACCCGAGAACCACCAAAUGA